UUGAAAGGGAAACGAUUGAAGUCAGUCAUGCCGGUGGGAAUCAACUUAGGGGAAACUCUAAGUGCACUUCUUCGCUUGGCAGGUCAACGUCGAUUUUGGAUGUCAUAAAAUGAUUGGGGGAAGGUAGCUCCUUAGGGAGUGUUAUAGCCCUUGGUAGAUGCUGAAUGAUGUCUGGGAUCGAGGAUUGCAAGGCUUUGGAUACCCUUUGGGGCUAGCUGCCUGAUCUCUAAUUGGUAUUGGGUUACGGAUAGCAUGCUGACCGUGAUCUAAUUAUUGGUUAAAAGGUUAGAGCGUGCAUAAAUUCGUUAAGGAUGUUGACGUA
rnacentral:rRNA from 1 species